rnacentral:lncRNA from 1 species
CAAUCGUCUAUAGACACUGAAAAGCAGGCAUGUUUAACUUUUUCUCUCCCUUAAGAGAGGAACACUGGUGGAAAAGUGACAAGAGAGCAACAAGUCCUACUUGCUCAAGAAGAGAAUGACUCAAUACGCAGGAUUAGGCUUAUAGAGCCCAUGAAGCAAAAUGGAACAGAAGGAGCUGCACCCAACAGAGCAGGCGGCUGGAGGAGCGGCACAAGAAAGCCUGGGAUAAAGUUG